UCACCCCGAGGAAUGCCCAUGGGGCUCUUCUGAGUCCUCCGCUGAGCCGCACCAGGAUUCCUUCAUGGAGAGUGAGGUUUCACUCCCAUCUUGCAGCCCUGAGGACUCCUCAGUAUAGCCCCGCAUGGACCCGCCUUCACUUCAUCCAGAGAGCGGAGCUGGAGCUGGCUGUGUGCCCUCCAUGGCGCAAGGGCCCCUUAAGGAGUGUGCGGACUCUUUUACCACUGCUCCACCUGGGAAGCCCCAGUCCUCACUUUGGAGCUCCCCGAAGACUCAAGAAUACAGAAGCCUUGUCAGUCGUCGAGAAAUUCUGGGAUAUGAGAGAUGGAACUUUCCCUGCCAUAUCAGUGAACAAAGGGUAUCACAGUCAUGGGCGAUGACGGCCACCACGGCUGCUGAGCUGGUGAGCCCUGAGGGUGCUCAGGAAGGAAAGAACACAGCCAUCUAGCAGCCAUCAGACUGCGGCCACCACUGAGGGUGAGCUCGGAGGGAACUUGGGACGUGAAAACAGCAGGAUCCUGGCCCCAGACAGCUGAGGCGCGCAUCGAAGUGAUGAUUUCAGCGAGCCCGGACGCUUCCAUCUUCCCAUACGUAGAAAAGCGCUAAAUUCUCUAACUUGGGAUAGUUGGUUUUCUUUAAUUGGCGGUAGCAUUCGAGGUUCAGAUUAUCUGCCUUUUGUUGCGAAGCUUCUUUAUUACCUGGCUCCUCCCCUCGCCUCCUCUGAGCAGUUCUCUCGGGGUUACUUGAGAUGCUGCCUCCCGGGCUUGAGUCCUAAGAAUAUCUGACAAAUAAAACAUAACUCUCAACGUUUAGGUUGCGUGUGUAUUUUUGGCAGACAGAUGCAUCACACAACUCUCAGCAGAUUCCUGGUCCUCACUAGAGAACACUUGCUUCUCAGACUCCAGUGAGGGUCAAAUGAGGGAAUGCUUGAACAGUGAGAAGCAGCUGUGAGCUGCUGUUCAGUCACUCAGUCGUCUCCAACUCUGUGACCCCAUGGACUGUGGCAAGCCAGGACUCCAUC
ensembl:lncRNA